CGCUUCUAGGAUACUGGCCGCAGUGGGAAUUUUACACAAACGGCCUUUUUGGAAAAUUUACGCUCUUUAUGAAUUUAGUAACCGUUCAGUUGAAGUUGGCCGAUUGAACCUUAUUGAGGGAGAUCAUGAACCCGACUGUCAAGAUAUUGGCAACUGUUUUUUUAUUUACUAAAAGCCUGCAAAGCCAAAGACAUCUCUAUCAGCCCUAGAUAUACAGACACCAAAUGUUUUUUCUAAAGAUGGUUAAUAUCACACUACUGCCAGCAAGGCAGUAGUGUGAUAUUAUAUGUAAACUCUUUCUCUUGUUUUGUAUAAGGAAUUGCUAACAGACACUGUAAAUCAAGGUCUUCCUGAGAUGAUUUCAUCAAUGCAGCAGCUUAUCACUCAGCCAAACAAGCAAACUUUCCCAAGGACCGUGAUACAGAACGACAACAAUGAUGUGGCAGAAGCACUACGUAUGGCGCAUACCUCAACUGCUGGACCCAGUUUUCAGUCUUCCAGAACACAGCUGCCUGUGGAUGACUGUUCGAUUGCCCCUGUGGCUGUCUGUCUGGAUAUUCCACAGGCAAUAAGGGACCGCUGCAACAAGGUUACAGCAGCAAAAUACACCAAUGAUCUGACUAUGGUCUGGACACAACUGCAUUCAUGGCAGCUCAUAGUGUGACUGGGCUUGGGUCAUCAACAAAGGGGGAGACGCGACCAUCACUCCCUCCUGAAGAUGUUAAAAAGAUUAUUUGGGAAGUUAAAUCUGUCUUCCCAGAAAAGAAUGAUGCUGAAAUAAAGGGAUUCAUCCGCCAAAAGUUAUCAAAUGCGGCCAAGAUCGUGAAAAGAAAAUCCUGCUAAAUUUAUGAAAUAAUAAUAAAAAAAUUUAAAAAUUG